AACGGGUGAGUAAUACAUCGGAACGUGCCAAGUCGUGGGGAUAACGUAGCGAAAGUUACGCUAAUACCGCAUACGAUCUACGGAUGAAAGCGGGGAUCGCAAGACCUCGCGCGAAUGGAGCGGCCGAUGUCAGAUUAGGUAGUUGGUGGGGUAAAGGCUCACCAAGCCAACGAUCUGUAGCUGGUCUGAGAGGACGACCAGCCACACUGGAACUGAGACACGGUCCAGACUCCUACGGGAGGCAGCAGUGGGGAAUUUUGGACAAUGGGCGCAAGCCUGAUCCAGCCAUUCCGCGUGCAGGAUGAAGGCCUUCGGGUUGUAAACUGCUUUUGUACGGAACGAAACGGUCUGCCCUAAUACGGUGGGCUAAUGACGGUACCGUAAGAAUAAGCACCGGCUAACUACGUG
rnacentral:rRNA from 1 species